AACGCGAAGAACCUUACCUGGGCUCGAAAUGUUAUGGACCGGAGUAGAAAUAUUCCUUCCCAGCAAUGGGCCGUAAUAUAGGUGCUGCAUGGCUGUCGUCAGCUCGUGUCGUGAGAUGUUGGGUUAAGUCCCGCAACGAGCGCAACCCUUAUCCCCAGUUGCCAUCAUUAAGUUGGGCACUCUGGUGAAACCGCCUCGGAUAACGGGGAGGAAGGUGGGGAUGACGUCAAGUCCUCAUGGCCUUUAUGUCCAGGGCUACACACGUGCUACAAUGACCGGUACAAACCGUCGCAAACCCGUGAGGGGGAGCUAAUCGGAAAAAGCCGGCCUCAGUUCGGAUCGCAGUCUGCAACUCGACUGCGUGAAGCUGGAAUCGCUAGUAAUCGCGGAUCAGAAUGCCGCGGUGAAUACGUUCCCGGGCCUUGUACACACCGCGCAUA
rnacentral:rRNA from 1 species